UACGAGGGGGGCAAGCGUUGUUCGAAAUUAUUGGGCGUAAAGGGUGCGUAGGCGGUUUGAUAAGUCAUCUGUGAAAUCUCUGGGCUCAACCCAGAGUCUGCAGGCGAAACUGUCGGGCUUGAGUAUGGGAGAGGUGAGUGGAAUUUCCGGUGUAGCGGUGAAAUGCGUAGAUAUCGGAAGGAACACCUGUGGCGAAAGCGGCUCACUGGACCAUUACUGACGCUGAUGCACGAAAGCUAGGGGAGCAAACAGG
rnacentral:rRNA from 1 species